rnacentral:rRNA from 1 species
GACCUCUGAAACACGGACCAAGGAGUCUAACAUGUGCGCGAGUUGUGGAGAAGGAAUCUCGCAGGCGAAAUGAAAGUGAAGGCCGGUCCUGAUCGGACUAGGUGUGAUGUGUGACGUGAUUGCGUUGCAUCGCAAUACUACCCCGUCUUGUCUGCUUGACAUUAAGGCGGAGAAAAAGCGUACACGUUAGGACCCGAAAGAUGGUGAACUAUGCCUGAGCAGAAUGAAGUCAGAGGAAACUCUGAUGGAAGUUCGUAGCGGUUCUGACGUGCAAAUCGAUCGUCAGACUUGGGUAUAGGGGCGAAAGACUAAUCGAACCGUCUAGUAGCUGGUUC